UUGAACGCUGGCGGCAGGCCUAACACCUGCAAGUCGCGCGGAUGAAGGGAGCUUGCUCCUGGAUUCAGCGGCGGACGGGUGAGUAAUGCCUAGGAAUCUGCCUGGUAGUGGGGGAUAACGUCCGGAGACGGGCGCUAAUACCGCAUACGUCCUGAGGGAGAAAGUGGGGGAUCUUCGGACCUCACGCUAUCAGAUGAGCCUAGGUCGGAUUAGCUAGUUGGUGGGGUAAAGGCCUACCAAGGCGACGAUCCGUAACUGGUCUGAGAGGAUGAUCAGUCACACUGGAACUGAGACACGGUCCAGACUCCUACGGGAGGCAGCAGUGGGGAAUAUUGGACAAUGGGCGAAAGCCUGAUCCAGCCAUGCCGCGUGUGUGAAGAAGGUCUUCGGAUUGUAAAGCACUUUAAGUUGGGAGGAAGGGCAGUAAGUUAAUACCUUGCUGUUUUGACGUUACCAACAGAAUAAGCACCGGCUAACUUCGUG
rnacentral:rRNA from 1 species